rnacentral:rRNA from 1 species
UACGUAGGGUGCGAGCGUUUGUCCGGAAUUACUGGGCGUAAAGAGCUCGUAGGUGGUUUGUCGCGUUGUUCGUGAAAACUCACAGCUUAACUGUGGGCGUGCGGGCGAUACGGGCAGACUGGAGUACUGCAGGGGAGACUGGAAUUCCUGGUGUAGCGGUGGAAUGCGCAGAUAUCAGGAGGAACACCUGCGGUGUAGACGGCUUACUGGACGGUAACUGACGCUGAGGCACGAAAGCGUGGGUAGCAAACAGG